ensembl:lncRNA
UCAAACACUUAAUUGCUCAUCUACAGUCUUAGUCAGCACAUAACAAGGCUAGCCAAUGGCUUUCCUGCCUUUUUUGCUUAACCGGUCGAGGUUACCAAUACGCUCAUACAAUCUUUUUCUCUUUUGGCCUGUAACACUUAAAUCAGUUAAAAAAAAAAAAAAAAGUAUUUAUGCAUGUAUAUUGAUAAACAAAAUCAGUAAAAAAAAAAAAAAAAAAGUAUUUAUGCAUGUAUAUUGAUAAACAAAAUCAGUUAAAAAAAAAAAAAAAGUACUAUUUUUUUCUCUUUUGGCCUGUACCACUUAAAUCAGUUAAAAAAAAAAAAAAAAAGUAUGUAUGCAUGUAUAUUGAUAAACAAAAUCAUAAAAAAAAAAAAAGUACUAUUUUUUUCUAUUUUGGCCUGUAACACUUCAAACACUUAAUGGCUCAUCUACAGUCUUAGUCAGCACCUAAUAAGGCUAGCCAAUGACUUUCCUGCCUUUUUUGCUUAACCGGUCGAGGUUACCAAUAUGCUCA